AAUCAACGCUGGCGGCGUGCCUCAGACAUGCAAGUCGAACGAUUAAACUUUCCUUCGGGAAAGAUAUAAAGUGGCGCACGGGUGAGUAACACGUAAGUAAUCUACCUUCGAGUGGGGAAUAACGUCGGGAAACCGACGCUAAUACCGCAUAAUGCAGCGGCACCUUAUGGUGACAGUUGUUAAAGGAGCAAUUCGCUUGAAGAGGAGCUUGCGGCAGAUUAGCUAGUUGGUAAGGAACGGCUUACCAAGGCUACGAUCUGUAACCGGUCUAAGAGGACGGUCGGUCACACUGACACUGAAUAACGGGUCAGACUCCUACGGGAGGCAGCAGUCGGGAAUUUUGGGCAAUGGGCGAAAGCCUGACCCAGCAACGCCGCGUGAAGGAUGAAGUAUUUCGGUAUGUAAACUUCGAAAGAAUGGGAAGAAUCAAUGACGGUACCAUUUAUAAGGUCCGGCUAACUACGUGCCAGCCGCCGCAGUAAG
rnacentral:rRNA from 1 species